GAUGAACGCUGGCGGCGUGCCUAAUACAUGCAAGUCGAGCGAACUGAUUAGAAGCUUGCUUCUAUGACGUUAGCGGCGGACGGGUGAGUAACACGUGGGCAACCUGCCUGUAAGACUGGGAUAACUUCGGGAAACCGAAGCUAAUACCGGAUAGGAUCUUCUCCUUCAUGGGAGAUGAUUGAAAGAUGGUUUCGGCUAUCACUUACAGAUGGGCCCGCGGUGCAUUAGCUAGUUGGUGAGGUAACGGCUCACCAAGGCAACGAUGCAUAGCCGACCUGAGAGGGUGAUCGGCCACACUGGGACUGAGACACGGCCCAGACUCCUACGGGAGGCAGCAGUAGGGAAUCUUCCGCAAUGGACGAAAGUCUGACGGAGCAACGCCGCGUGAGUGAUGAAGGCUUUCGGGUCGUAAAACUCUGUUGUUAGGGAAGAACGAGUACGAGAGUAACUGCUCGUACCUUGACGGUACCUAACCAGAAAGCCACGGCUAACUACGUGCCAGCAGCCGCGGUAAGAC
rnacentral:rRNA from 1 species